UACAGAGGGGGCAAGCGUUAUUCGGAAUUAUUGGGCGUAAAGGGCGCGUAGGCGGCUUGGCAAGUGGAAGGUGAAAUCCCUCGGCUCAACCGAGGAACGUCGAUCGAUACUGCUGUUCUUGAGGAUUGCAGAGGAGACUGGAAUUCCCGGUGUAGCGGUGAAAUGUGUAGAGAUCGGGAGGAACACCGGUGGCGAAGGCGGGUCUCUGGGCAAUUCCUGACGCUGAGGCGCGAAAGCGUGGGGAGCAAACGGG
rnacentral:rRNA from 1 species